AGAGCAUCCCCAGCACCCACUGAUCACAGAAUCACAGAAUGAACGAGGUUGGAAAAGACCUUUUAGAUCAUCAACUCCAACCUAUGCCCUAACCUAACCUCCUCAUCAACUAAACCAUGGCACCGAGUGCCACGUCCAGG